rnacentral:rRNA from 1 species
AUCAGGUGGGACUACCCGCUGAACUUAAGCAUAUCAAUAAGCGGA